GCUCCACCUGUCAAGCCGAGUCCAGACACUGUCAUUGCUACGCCCCCACACACCCACACACACUCGGAUGACAAUUAUUAUCAGACACUGUCUGACUCUCACCCGCAACAGGAACCACAGUAGCUCACAGUGAGUCAAAACGCUAAACAACACGAAACUUAAAGCGGAAAGACCUGCAGUUAAUUGGUGAUCUGGAUUUUCUUGUUUAGGUGCAUUCCACCUUUAGUUGAGAUUCUCAACUCUCUGUGAAAACUGGUUGUAAUAGAAAGAGUCACCAAAGACUGUAGUACACUAAAUGGCUGUUGGCUUCAAACUGUGAAGAAAUGUUAAUUUUUAACCCUAACCCUUUCUUACCAAAAGAUAAAACCAAGAUCCCUGGCGUCUGUAUGGAAAUUGGUGUCGUCCCCGCACGUUAAAUCAGCUCAGAGAGGCCUGACUGCUCAGUGACGGAGGGAGGAUGGGAACAGAUCGAUACACUGGUCUCCACUUUGAUGCUCUUCAGCCAGGUCCAUCUCCAGCUGAGAAACUCUUUCCUGCAAAAUGAAUGAACGUGAGCGUUGGUCUCGGUCUCCGCCUCCAGAUCGUGAACCUGGUUCUCCAGCGACUUCACCCGGAGCUCAGCCUCAUCUCGUUCCCUCUCACACUGCCGGAUUUCCUCCUCACGGCGGGACAGCUUAAACAAAAA